AUUGAACGCUGGCGGCAGGCUUAACACAUGCAAGUCGAGCGGAGUGAUGGUGCUUGCACUAUCACUUAGCGGCGGACGGGUGAGUAAUGCUUAGGAAUCUGCCUAUUAGUGGGGGACAACAUCUCGAAAGGGAUGCUAAUACCGCAUACGUCCUACGGGAGAAAGCAGGGGAUCACUUGUGACCUUGCGCUAAUAGAUGAGCCUACGUCGUAUUAGCUAGUUGGUGGGGUAAAGGCCUACCAAGGCGACGAUCUGUAGCGGGUCUGAGAGGAUGAUCCGCCAAACUGGGACUGAGACACGGCCCAGACUCCUACGGGAGGCAGCAGUGGGGAAUAUUGGACAAUGGGGGGAACCCUGAUCCAGCCAUGCCGCGUGUGUGAAGAAGGCCUUAUGGUUGUAAAGCACUUUAAGCGAGGAGGAGGCUCUUUUGGUUAAUACCCAAGAUGAGUGGACGUUACUCGCAGAAUAAGCACCGGCUAACUCUGUGCCAGCAGCCGCCGUAA
rnacentral:rRNA from 1 species